GAAAUAAGCCGUUAUGCUCGUUGAAAAUGUUGCAGCGGUUUCUAUUCAGAGCCCAGCGCGCGACACACGAGCAGCUCUCGCUCCGUCAACAUGACGACCUCUUUUCCCAUGAAUUAUUUCUCAUUGCGGUUCACUCCCACGGCCACGGAGCGUCUGACCCGCGCACGAGCGUGUGCUGUCGGGAGCGCGCAGCAAUCAUACCUCAUCCGUCGCGCGUCUCGGUGGUGUCGGAUAAAUAGGAGACGGUCGGUCUUUUGACUAAAAAAAACAACAACAACGACAACAACAACCCCACUCGGGCAUCGUGCUUCGUUGUGAGAAGAAGACAACCAUUUUUUUUUCUUCCGAAAGUCCUGCACGUUUUUCUCCCCUCGCCUGUGAGCGGAUGCCGGAGGAGUACAGCUGCGAGGCUUCCGGGCUCGUCCCUCAUCUCGCGGGUCAUUCCUCCAAGUUGACGCUGCUGACGCGGUUCGGUUCGGGGAUGUAAACGACCCUCCGAGGGACCCGAGCUGAGUGCACCGAUUCCACGGAAGCAUGAGCCCCGCGGGAGCCCGGAGCGUCUCGUGAAAGGGGAUCCCAACGUACUCGAUCACUUUUUAACUAGAGCUACAUGGGAUGCUCUCACGUUGUAGGGUGUUAUUGGACGUUAUGAACAUGACCGAAUAGGAGGAAAAAGG
ensembl:lncRNA